GACAUCUUGCAGCACCAUUUCAGCCAUUUUAAAAGUAGAUCACAAUGUCAUCACCACACAGCAUUUUUACUGGCAGUCCAAAUGGGCCUACAUUGAGGAUGUCCCCAAUGUUUGAGGAUUUAGAGGAACCCUCACAGGAACCAUCAUGUAGCCAGAGAACAACCCAAACUCAGUAACAUUCCAAACCAAAAAGUUUGAAGCGGUCCAGCAAGUCUGAUGCCCCCUCCAAAGCUCCUAGCAAAGACAACUUCAAGCACCACACCGCUACCAACAUCGCCACCAGAAGUACAGGAAGUUGUUGAGGUACCAAGAACAGAAGAAGAAUCUGGAACACAUCAUCAAGAAUAUAUAUCUAGUGGCAUUAGAUAUAAACUUUCUCAGAGACAUUCUUCCAAAAAAAAAUAGAGAGUCCUCUCAUAGAGAGAACCUUAUUCUUGAAGCAAUUCAGAAACUAGAGGAUUUCUGCACAUCAAAGUUUCUACACAUUGAUGUGCGCCUUCUCCACCUAGAGGGUAUAGUAACUGGCCCAGCCACGAGUCCUAAUAGGGACUUUCUUAUGACCCUUGUCCCAUCUAUGGACCGAAUGUCAGAGGAACAAAUUGCAAAUUAUAAGGUGCGAAUAAUUCGCAUGACCCAAGAAAUUUUGAACCCUCCACAAACUCAGAUGUAUCCUCCACCUUCACCUUCGGUUCAACAAGCCAGACCCAGAAGCUACCCUAGCACAUACACUCAAGUGCAUUAUGAUGAAACUUUUGAGGUUGAGGAGGGUCAAGUCUAUAGGAGAAUGCAGCUUGUUUUUUUGGUGUUUAUUUACCAUACAGUGUUUGUAUAGUUUUUAUACCUUCAGUGUUUGUAUAUUUUGAUACCUUGGUUUAUACCUUCAUGUGUACUGACAAGACACAUUUGUAAAGUUUUUUUAAGUUUUAUAAAAGCAAAAAUAAAG